GCCGACCAUUGCAUUCUUUGAUCAUUCCUUCUAAUGUUACAGAACUUCGUGUACAAAAUACUUAGAAUGUGAGUUAAAACUCGAAAUAUAUGGCAGAGGACUCUUAAAAAUCCACAAAUACAAUUAUUUAUUUUCUAAUCCUUCCACUUAUUCAUCAAUGGAGUUGGAAGUGCUGGAAAGUGCAAAAGGAUUUUGUGCAGACGUGGUUUUUUUAAGUAGCGAAACAUCCAAUAAGGCAUUUGAUUUAACGAUCACCCAAGGUGAAAAACGUUUGCAACAUUAUGCCCUGAAUGCUAGCAGUGAAAUAAAAAACAAAUGGGUCACGAGGAGGUUUGAAAACAAGACGUUGACACUGGUUGGCAAAUGGAAACUGAAGUUGACAGCAGGCCCAGGCAGAAUCAGAAUUGGCGGAAUCAAAUUCUGUGCAGGAGGCGAUUCAAUGGUGAAACCAAAAGGGAAGAACAUGGAAAGCUGUCAUUUGUUGGCGGAGAGUGAACAAAAUUUGACCACGAAGGAAAGAUUGUUAGAAGUCGCCAGCAAUUCGGCCGUGUGUCAUGCGCUUGGAGAGAAUUGUUCCACAUUAAAAGCGUGCCGAGAAAACGGAGAGUGUGUUUACUUCACUGACUCAACAAGUAAGGAUAGCGAUAGUAAAACAACAACAAGUACAACAAAACCCCCACCACCACCAUCAGAAACAACUAUCACAACUAAACCAACAUCAACAACAAAAACGACAACAUCAACAACUACUUUUCAAGAGCCAAUCAGUAGCGACACAGGCUCAAAUUUGAGCCGUAAUAUAUCCUGCGAUGCCGAAGCCAAUAAAAAUUUCCGCGAUAUGAUUAUACUGACUAUACUGGCCACAAGCUGGAACAUCGGAAGCUACAUCUUCCUCGCGUUUCAGCUUUUCUAUUUCAGAUAAUAUAUGAGAGGGCUUGAUGGCUCGAUCCAUUUGAACCAACGCAGGUUAACAUUGUCGACGCCCUCUCCACAGCAAGAACACGCUGUGGCCAAAACCUUCUUUCCGAGAAUUUUCGCUCCCUGACCUCAGGGUUGAAAUAAUUAUUCUCAUAUUUAUUCAUUAACACCAGAUUGUCAUCAUUAUUUCUAACCAUUAUACUUAUAUCUAUAAAUAGUAUCUAAAUUAGAUAUAUUUAAAUCUAAAAUUUUAAAUAUAAAUAAGCAAUAUUGGAAACAAUGAACAUACCAUAAAUUAAAAAAAAAUGAAUGAUCAGUUGAGUGAGACUUCAGAUAUAUAGCGGAUUUUCUGAACCUGUUUAGCUUUUAAAAAUAUUAUAAAACAAUACUUUAGUACAUUAUUUAUGGCUUGGAGAAAAAUGUCACUAGAAAGGGACAUUGCUUUUGUGUGUAAUCUAUAAUGAAAAGGACAUUACAAAUUUUAUAAAAGCACGGAGAAAAUGUUUUAUUUUGUCAUGCAAUGCUUCCCACUUCGAUUGUUACUCACAAUCUGGCAC